rnacentral:miRNA from 1 species
UGCCUGGACCCUGCUGCCUAGA